AAUUAUGCAAAUUAGGCGAUGACAUCAUUUAGCGACUUCUAGCGACUUUUAGGACAGCCAGUCGCGUGCUGGCAGGAGAAAAAGAGAGCUGCGCUGCAAAACUUUGAUCCUUGAGAGACUGAAGCUUUUGAGCUGGAAAAAGUAUUAGAUAUAAGUUGCAACCAACUGUGCUGCACAUAAGUUCGCUGGUUAUCAGCUACCUUUCAUGUUAAAAGUAGCCAAAGUGAGUAAACAGGCGAAUGCUGCAGUUUUCUGGCGACUUUAGAAAGUACCACGUGGAGCUAAACUGUUAGCUUUCAUUAGCUCAAGUUGUUAUCAACUGCCUGAAAGUUCAUCUCAAUCUGCUUCCAGAGAGCCCUGCAUUUUCCGACCGAGAGACACCAUACCAUUGUCCUUGGCCGUGAUGCACUGAGAUCGGUCAGGGUUUUAUUUUUGUUUUUUGUUUUUUGUAUGCUGAAUUGUUCCUGAGGUGGAUUCCUCCGGUGAAAUAGAUGGCGAGCCUUCCCACCUGGACUUAGAGAGACUGAGAUUCGCUUCUUUUCCACUUGAUGAUCUGCUGCACCUUGCGGUGUGGUAGGACUGUAUCACUCACACUUUCACUAAACCCCUUGGACAUUUUUUAUUUGGAACUUUGAAUAAUAAGCUGUUGUGUAGAACAUUCUCCACAUGUGAAAAGAGUGUGAGAUUUUCAUUUGAAUGUACAUUGGAUUUGUGUAAUCGGUUUCUAUAAGAGUUAAGGAGUCAGGUAACUAGGGUGCACCCGAGCAUUGAAACCCAACGUUGAAACCGAGCAUUGAAAACCAAAAGUAACACUUGGCCAAGUCAUUGUCUUAGCAGUUUAUGUGUUUUACUUUUUUUUUUCAUUUUUUGUAAGUUUCCUUUCUGCCAUUGUAAAGUGUCUUUAACCCUCUGGGGUCGACGGAUGCGCCGGCGCAUCAAAACCACAUGACCAAUUUAAGACGACACAGCUAAAAGAUGCAGCGACUGAGUCUCCAUUUUAACUUGGGUCGAAAGUGCGGACUUCAGACUAUAUACCAGUUUUUGAAUUGUGUCGAUGGGCCACUUAAAACCAGAGUUAUGAUAAAAAAUACACGCGAUGUUUUUUUCUGAAAUGAAACAGUGGUGUUUACAGCGGGAAGAACAGACAGCGCUAGCAAACACUCUCUGCUUGCAGUGAAAAAAGAAAAAGAAAAAACACCCCUUCCCUAUUGGUGUUAGAGUUUACCAUGUUAGCCAAUCAAAAAAAUGAUAUGGCGACAUGUGGCACUUGGUUGUUUAGGAAGAAGGGGCAGAUUUAGGAGUGACACCUGCGAGGGAAAGCGGGUGAGCGAAAGAAAGAGAGAGAGCGAGUUUUCAUAUGUGAGACAUUAGUGAGGUUUAGCGUGUUUGGAGGCUGUAGUUAGUUUGUUGUGUAGUUAUUGUUUUGUAUUGUGUG